AGGACGAACGCUGGCGGCGUGCCUAAUACAUGCAAGUAGAACGCUGAAGAGAGGAGCUUGCUCUUCUUGGAUGAGUUGCGAACGGGUGAGUAACGCGUAGGUAACCUGCCUGGUAGCGGGGGAUAACUAUUGGAAACGAUAGCUAAUACCGCAUAAAAUUGAUUAUUGCAUGAUAAUUAAUUAGAAAGAUGCAAUUGCAUCACUACAGAUGGACCUGCGUUGUAUUAGCUAGUGGUGA
rnacentral:rRNA from 1 species